GACGAACGCUGGCGGCGUGCUUAACACAUGCAAGUCGAACGGUGAAAGCGGAGCUUGCUCCGCUGGAUCAGUGGCGAACGGGUGAGUAACACGUGGGCAACCUGCCCUUCACUUCGGGAUAACUCCGGGAAACCGGGGCUAAUACCGGAUAUGACCUCUGCGGGCAUCCGCGGAGGUGGAAAGUUUUUCGGUGAAGGAUGGGCCCGCGGCCUAUCAGCUUGUUGGUGGGGUAGUGGCUCACCAAGGCGACGACGGGUAGCCGGCCUGAGAGGAUGACCAGCCAGACUGGAACUGAGACACGGUCCAGACUCCUACGGGAGGCAGCAGUCGGGAAUUUUCCACAAUGGGCGAAAGCCUGAUGGAGCAACGCCGCGUGCAGGAAGAAUGCCUUCGGGUUGUAAACUGCUUUUAUAUGCGAAGAAUAUGACGGUAACAUAUGAAUAAGGGUCGGCUAACUACGUGCCAGCAGCCGCGGUAA
rnacentral:rRNA from 1 species